CAAAAUCCAAUCUCAUUUCAAUCUGAAUCACUCCCGGGACCCCAUCUAAAUAUACCAAAACAUCCCAAAAUACGAAACGAACUUAGUAGAGGUCUCAAAUCAUAUCAAACAAUAUUAAAAAUACGAAUAAAGAAUGCCAUUGACUUUGUGUCUUGAAAACAAAGUGAUUAAGGUAUAUCGGAUAGUAUAGAAUAUAUGAAGUGUAGAAAGAGCUGUGUUUUGAAAUAAUAGACUAAGUGUGAAAAUUAAUUUAGAUAAAGAAUGAUUAAAUAUGUAACAAUGGUGUAUUGAAAAAUAUAUUAAAGAAUCGUAUCGUAGUGUGAGUUGAAUAAUAUAAAAGAAUUGUGCUUAAAGACUACAUAUUGGCUCAAAGAAUUUAAACAAAGAAUUGAAUUUCACAAGAAUAAGAUUAAAAGAAUCUACUUAUAAUUUGAAGACAAAAACUUUGAAUGAGUGAUUAAAUUAUGAGAGAACAUGCAUUAAGGAGUAAAGUGAAAAGAAAAGAAUGAUUAUUUGCAUAGGAGUAAUUUGACCAAAGAAACAAAGUGUGAAAAUAUUAGCAUGAAUGAGUAAGUGUUAAAGGAAUAAAAAUAUAAGAUAUUGUGUAGUGAUAUGUGGAAUGUUUAUAAAUUAACUAAAUGAAUAUUAAUUAAAGGAUACACUUGGAAAGAUUUUUAUUUAUGUGCAAAGAUUAACUAUUUAAGUGAAAAGCUAGAAAUUAAAAUUUAUUUUAAACGAUUGUUAAGAGUGGAAAAGAAUAAUCUUUGAACAAUCUUAGUAGAUAAUGAAAAAACUAAAAGAAUUAAUUUAAUGAAUGGAAUGAGUAUGGUAUAGGAAAAUGUACCAAAAUAUUUAUGACAUAGAAAAUUAUCCCAUCAAUACAAAGAAAUAUUCGCGCUAAAAAAAAGAGUUAUCAUUCAAUGAGUAACUAAAGACCAUCUCUCGAGUCAUGGUCUUGAAACACAAAUUAUGUGAGCCAAGCCCAAAUGACUACAAGGACAAAGUCUCUUAAAGAAUGGUAUGAUAAUUCAACUACAAUUUUUAACUUAAGAUGCGUCAAUUAAAAAAAAUUACAUAUGACAUGGUUCGAAAAACAUGCUAAUAUAACUUUAAGAGAACAACAAAAUUAUUUAUUUUAUUUAUUUAUUUUGAAAGAAGAUGACAUGGUUUUAUUUUUUUAUGUAUAUAGAUUUAGUUGACUAUAUGCAUAUCGAUCCUAAUUAAUCAACCGAGUUGUAAAACAUAUAUGGCAUCUUCUAGAUAUAUACAAACUCCAUAAAAAUCACCUAACGUGCAAUAUUGUAAUUUAACCCAAUUGUUAACUAUAUGCAAUUUACCCUAAAUAUUUAGUAAGUAGACGACAUCAAAGCAAGCAAGCACAAUAUCUAUCUACGAUUUCACUAUACUUUACGUUUUAGGUACACCCAAGAACGGGAUGUAAGAAGCAGGGAUUGAUGAGGGAUUUAUCUUCGAUCUUUCUCCAAAAUGUCUUCUUCCGAAGACGACUUCGUAUGAUAGUACCUUGCAAGACAAGAGAAGUGAAAUUAUUAGUUAAUAUGACGUAAAAGAUAAGCUAAUAAAGGUACAUGUGUUUUGAAAUGGUUUUUGUUUUAAAAUAUUUUUUGGAAAAUUGCUCUAGAAAAUAAUUUGAAAAAUGUUUUUGUAUUUGAAAGAUUGUUUGAAAAAGUAUUUUUUGGGAAAGAUUGUUUAUUGAAAUUAGUUUUGGAAAAUAGUUUUAAAAAUAAUAUAGGAGGCUCAAAUAUGUAUUUUUCGAUAUCCAUCUUAGACAUGAGAACUGGAACCGCCUCGGUAGUGACUCCGGUUGCUAAUCGUGUCGCCCUCCAUAGGUUUUAUGGGUUCAUCGCAUCCUCAUCUUUUAUUCUCCGAUAUUUAUUAUCAUCGCCUCGUUAUUUCGGGACCAAUCUGAGGGUCAUUCGAGGUGUCGGGCCUCAAAAUAAUUAUUCUCACCGGCCUAUGUAUAAUAUUUAUUUAAUAACAGUAUUGAGCCCAAUAUCGAAUACUAGCAAACGACCAACGGGUCAUAAUAAACAAUACAGUCCGGAAAGGAUCAAAGGGUCUCAAAACUUCGAAUCUGUACUCCUUCAACAGAAAGAUUUAAACAAAAUGGUCGAACACAGUUAAAGCCAAUGGGGUAGCAGCACCUUAAGCAAUAGAACCAAUGAUGGAAAUAAGAAAGUCAUCGGUACAAGGCAAGGCAGGAACAGACCAAAACCAUGAACAAAUACUCUAAGAGAGUCAAAUCAUUCACAAGCGUUAGUGCAACUUAAAUUAGCAGAAAACAGUAAUAGGCCAAGCUUGAGCUAAUAUGAACAAAACCAAACAAACUCCCCCAAAAUCGAAAAAGACAACAGGGGUGCCAGACUUUACAGGGAUCGCCAGAAUGAGCGGAAAACAGUGGUUCGUCGCCGGAAAAAUUCAUAUACCAUAUAAUCUAUCAAAAUCGCAAAUCAAAUCAACAAUAACUAAAUGCGGGUCCAAACAGCAUCCUAAGAGGGUCACCGAAAAAUCAAAACUCUAGCCAGAUUUGGACAUUUUCAGUCGGAUCUAAGGGAACACAUAGUCAUCGGGAUUUUGGCGAGUCAUCACCUGAAACGAGACAACGGGGACAAACGACCUGGCUACUAAGUUUCCAACUCAUUGCCGUAGAGGCUUGUCCUUUCUCUACUGAACAUAGCGGCCAUAGCAGUGAAGAAAAAAGUAGGGGUUGCUGAUAUUCAUGGAGUUCUGCCAGAUUUCAUGGUAUUUCCUGUGAGUUUAUGUCUUCCCGUUCACCACUAUUGAGAGUAUGAGGGCGUGAGAGAGGAGAAGAACAGCGAUGAGGCAAUAAAAGGUGCCAGCCAUUGCCGUUGGUGGCCGGCCGGCGGCAAGGCAGCAAAGAAAAAGUGGGGGUCGGUGGUUCCUAUCAAAGGAGAGAGAAAUGAAGAACCAAAUCCCAAAAUAAUAUGAGCCUUAGGGUUUUCAAAAGUCCUUAAAGAGCUUAUGGAUUAAAGUGGGAUGUGGGUGUAUUUUUAUUUUUGUAGUGUGUAAA
rnacentral:lncRNA from 1 species